GACGAACGCUGGCGGCGUGCUUAACUCAUGCAAGUCGAACGGUAAGGCUCCAGCUUGCUGGGGUACACGAGUGGCGAACGGGUGAGUAACACGUGGGUGACCUGCCCUGCACUUCGGGAUAAGCCUGGGAAACUGGGUCUAAUACCGGAUAGGACCGCACCGUGAGGGUGUGGUGGAAAGUUUUUUCGGUGUGGGAUGGGCCCGCGGCCUAUCAGCUUGUUGGUGGGGUAAUGGCCUACCAAGGCGGCGACGGGUAGCCGGCCUGAGAGGGUGGACGGCCACAUUGGGACUGAGACACGGCCCAGACUCCUACGGGAGGCAGCAGUGGGGAAUAUUGCACAAUGGGCGGAAGCCUGAUGCAGCGACGCCGCGUGGGGGAUGACGGCCUUCGGGUUGUAAACUCCUUUCACCAUCGACGAAGGGUUUCUGACGGUAGAUGGAGAAGAAGCACCGGCUAACUACGUGCCAGCAGCCGCGGUAAUACGUAGGGUGCGAGCGUUGUCCGGAAUUACUGGGCGUAAAGAGCUCGUAGGUGGUUUGUCGCGUCGUCUGUGAAAUUCCGGGGCUUAACUCCGGGCGUGCAGGCGAUACGGGCAUAACUUGAGUACUGUAGGGGAGACUGGAAUUCCUGGUGUAGCGGUGAAAUGCGCAGAUAUCAGGAGGAACACCGGUGGCGAAGGCGGGUCUCUGGGCAGUAACUGACGCUGAGGAGCGAAAGCAUGGGGAGCGAACAGGAUUAGAUACCCUGGUAGUCCAUGCCGUAAACGGUGGGCGCUAGGUGUGGGUUUCCUUCCACGGGAUCCGUGCCGUAGCUAACGCAUUAAGCGCCCCGCCUGGGGAGUACGGCCGCAAGGCUAAAACUCAAAGGAAUUGACGGGGGCCCGCACAAGCGGCGGAGCAUGUGGAUUAAUUCGAUGCAACGCGAAGAACCUUACCUGGGCUUGACAUAUACAGGAUCGCGCCAGAGAUGGUGUUUCCCUUGUGGCUUGUAUACAGGUGGUGCAUGGUUGUCGUCAGCUCGUGUCGUGAGAUGUUGGGUUAAGUCCCGCAACGAGCGCAACCCUUGUCUUAUGUUGCCAGCACGUUGUGGUGGGGACUCGUAAGAAACUGCCGGGGUUAACUCGGAGGAAGGUGGGGAUGACGUCAAAUCAUCAUGCCCCUUAUGUCCAGGGCUUCACACAUGCUACAAUGGUCGGUACAGUGGGUUGCCAGUCCGUGAGGGCGAGCUAAUCCCGCAAAGCCGGUCUCAGUUCGGAUCGGGGUCUGCAACUCGACCCCGUGAAGUCGGAGUCGCUAGUAAUCGCAGAUCAGCAACGCUGCGGUGAAUACGUUCCCGGGCCU
rnacentral:rRNA from 1 species